AGUAGUUUGAUCCUGGCUCAGGAGAACGCUGGCGGCGUGCCUAAUACAUGUAAGUCGAACGGAGAUAUUCGCUGAUGAAGUACUUCGGUAAUGAAUCUUGGAUAUCUUAGUGGCGGACGGGUGAGUAACGCGUGAGCAACCUGCCUUUCAGAGGGGGAUAACGUUUGGAAACGAACGCUAAUACCGCAUGACAUUAUCUUAUCGCAUGGUAGGAUAAUCAAAGGAGCAAUCCGCUGAAAGAUGGGCUCGCGUCCGAUUAGGUAGUUGGUGGGGUAACGGCCCACCAAGCCGACGAUCGGUAGCCGGACUGAGAGGUUGGACGGCCACAUUGGGACUGAGACACGGCCCAGACUCCUACGGGAGGCAGCAGUAAGGGAUAUUGGUCAAUGGGGGAAACCCUGAACCAGCAACGCCGCGUGAGGGAAGACGGUUUUCGGAUUGUAAACCUCUGUCCUCUGUGAAGAUGAUGACGGUAGCAGGGGAGGAAGCUCCGGCUAACUACGUG
rnacentral:rRNA from 1 species